rnacentral:rRNA from 1 species
UACGGGGGGAGCAAGCGUUGUUCGGAUUUACUGGGCGUAAAGGGCGCGUAGGCGGCCACCGCAAGUCGACUGUGAAAUCUCCGGGCUUAACCCGGAAAGGUCAGCCGAUACUGCGGGGCUAGAGUGCAGAAGGGGCAACUGGAAUUCUCGGUGUAGCGGUGAAAUGCGUAGAUAUCGAGAGGAACACCUGCGGCGAAGGCGGGUAGCUGGGCCGACACUGACGCUGAUGCGCGAAAGCGUGGGGAGCAAACGGG